rnacentral:rRNA from 1 species
AUGGAAGACUACUUCGCGGAGGUACCUACAUACCCUCCUCGUCUCUUCCGUAGAAGGUACCAAAUGCGGCGUAGUUUGUUUGUGAAGAUUGUCACCAAUUGUGAGGCCACCUCCUAUUACUUUAAACGUCGUAGAUCCGCUGCCGGUAUCAUGGGGUUCAGUGCAUAUCAAAAUAUAUCGGUGGCAAUGCGGGUACUCGCUUAUGGCAUACCCGCGGAUUAUACCGACGAGUAUCUUCGCAUUGGGCAAGAUACAACCAUGAAGUCAGUCCGUAGGUUUGCCAAGUUGGUCAUCCGGUUGUACGGUGAGCAGUAUCUUCGGGCACCAAACGAGGAAGAUACAAAGAGAUUAAUGGAAAUGAAUGAAAAAAGGGGAUGGCCGGGGAUGCUUGGUAGUCUUGAUUGCAUGCAUUGGAGGUGGAAAAAUUGCCCAAAGACAUGGCACGGAAUGUAUCGCGGUAAAAGCCAUGAUGCUACCAUUGUGCUUGAGGCCGUAGCAUCUCAGGACACAUGGAUUUGGCAUGCAUUCUUUGGGUUGCCGGGAACACUCAAUGAUAUCAAUAUCCUCAAUAGAUCUCCUUUGUUCAAAAGAUUAAUUUCUGGGGAUGCUCCAGCUUGCAACUACAAAAUCAUGGACAAUGAGUACUCAACGGGAUACUAUCUGACCGAUGGCAUCUAUCCCGAAUGGGCAACUCUUGUGAAGUCCAUCAAGGAGAAAAAUGGGGUGCCCUUAACAAGAAAAUAG